rnacentral:lncRNA from 1 species
AGAACAACAACAAUAACAACAACAAUAAUAACAAAAACAAAAACAAAAACAAAAACAAUAACAACAACAAGAAGAAGAAAAAAAACCAGAACAAUAACAACAACAACGACAAUAACAACAAUAAGAACAACAAUAAGAACAACAAUAAGAACAACAAAAUAACAACCAGAACAACAACAACAACAACAACAACAACAACAACACCAACUAGCAUUGCUAACUUUAAUCCAUGUUUUUCUUGUCUCAUUCAAGUUAGAGAAGAGGUG